GUAAAGUUUUAUUCUUGCUUUAUUUUAAUUUAUUAAUAUGCUUUAUAUACAAUUUUAUUUAUUAGAUAUUAUUUUGUAGUAAUUAGUUUUAGACAUUAAGUAAUUUUAGAUUUAGUAAUUUUUAAAGUAAAGGUUAAUGUCGUGCCAGCUGCCGCGGUUAUACGUCGUUUGCAUAAUUAAAUAUUUUGGUUGCAGUUUUGUUUUUAUAGAAUUUAUGUGUGUUAAUGUAUGGUGGAAUAGUCAUUAUUUUUUUAAUUUCUUUAUUUUUUUUUUCUGUAAUAGCUAUUUUUUAAACUGGGAUUAGAUACCCCAUUAUUUUAGAUUUAAUUAAUUUCCAGGGAAGUAUUAGUUAUUUUAUGAAAUCUAAAGAAUUUGGCGGCAUUUUAUCUUUUUAGGGGAACCUGUUCUGUAAAUGAUAAUACACGAUUUGAAUUACUAUAUUUAAGGUUUGUAUACCUCCGUUAUAAGGGUAUUUAAUAAUGAUAUAUUCUUUUCUUUUAAUAAAAUUGUAUUUCAGGUCAAGGUGCAGCUUAUAGUAUAGUUUGAAAUGGGUUACAAUAAUUAAAUUUAUAUGGAUAUUUUUUUUUAAUUUGAAAUUGAAGGUGGAUUUAUUAGUAAGUUUUUAUAAUUAUAAAUUCUGAAUUAGUUCUAUUAUGUGUACAUAUCGCCCGUCAUUCUCAUAUUUUGAGACAAGUCGUAACAUAGUAGACUUACCGGAAGGUGAGUCUGGUUUAUC
rnacentral:ncRNA from 1 species